rnacentral:lncRNA from 1 species
GUGAGCAGAGGGCCUGUCUGUGGAAGAGUCCUGCCGUGGAACGUGUGGGAGUUAGGAGGGCAGGCCCAGCGCGGAAAUUAGAGUGCCUAGGAGGAUGCUUGGCUGACACACAGAGAACCUCAGCUAAUACUCCUUGAAACCAACAGAAGGAACCUUCUGCUUUCAUCUGGAGGACCCAGCGUUCUGCCUGAGCGUGAGCUAGGACCCCCCUCCCAGGGAACGCCCAGGUGCCUUGGGCUUUCGCCCUCCUGCCAACAUCGAGUCUCCAAGUUCGCAAGAGCCAGAGGGAAGGAGCUGCCAACCAGGCACAGCGGAGAACACUGGAACCAUGACAACCAGUCACCAGCCUCAGGACAGGUAUAAGGCUGUCUGGCUCAUCUUCUUUGUCCUGGGUCUGGGGACACUGCUCCCCUGGAAUUUUUUUAUAACAGCAACCCAGUAUUUCACAAGCCGCCUGAACACGUCCCAGAAUAUAUCCUUGGUCACCAACCAAUCAUGCGAAAGCACCGAGGCCUUGGCUGACCCCUCAGUGUCCUUGCC